GACGAACGCUGGCGGCGUGCUUAACACAUGCAAGUCGAACGAUGAAGCUGGAGCUUGCUCCGGUGGAUUAGUGGCGAACGGGUGAGUAACACGUGAGCAAUCUGCCCUUGACUCUGGGAUAACUGCGGGAAACUGUAGCUAAUACCGGAUACGAGGCUCGAAGGCAUCUUCGGGUCUGGAAAGAAUUUCGGCCAAGGAUGAGCUCGCGGCCUAUCAGCUUGUUGGUGAGGUAAUGGCUCACCAAGGCGACGACGGGUAGCCGGCCUGAGAGGGUGACCGGCCACACUGGGACUGAGACACGGCCCAGACUCCUACGGGAGGCAGCAGUGGGGAAUAUUGCACAAUGGGCGAAAGCCUGAUGCAGCAACGCCGCGUGAGGGAUGAAGGCCUUCGGGUUGUAAACCUCUUUUAGCAGGGAAGAAGCGAAAGUGACGGUACCUGCAGAAAAAGCACCGACUAACUACGUGCCAGCAGCCGCCGUAA
rnacentral:rRNA from 1 species